rnacentral:rRNA from 1 species
GGGGGGGGGGGGGGGGGGGGGGGGGGGGGGGGGGGCGGGGGGGGCGUGCGGGGGGGGGGGCGCGCGGGGGCGUGCCGCGUGGGGGCGUGCCCUUGGGGUCGGGAUAACUCCCCGGAAGGGGUGCGCCUCCCGGAUCAUGUCUUCGGGCCAAAGCUUUAUCGCCUUUGGGUGGGCCCGCGUUGGAUUAGCUAGUUGGUAGGGUAAAAGCCUACCAAGGCGACGAUCCAUAGCUGGUCUGAGAGGAUGAUCAGCCACACUGGGACUGAGACACGGCCCAGACUCCUACGGGAGGCAGCAGUGGGGAAUAUUGGACAAUGGGCGAAAGCCUGAUCCAGCAAUGCCGCGUGAGUGAUGAAGGCCUUAGGGUUGUAAAGCUCUUUUACCCGGGAUGAUAAUGACAGUACCGGGAGAAUAAGCGCCGGCUAACUCCGUG